rnacentral:rRNA from 1 species
UACGUAGGGAGCAAGCGUUGUCCGGAUUUAUUGGGCGUAAAGGGCUAGUAGGCGGUUCGGCAAGUCGGGUGUGAAAACUCUAGGCUCAACCUGGAGAGGCCACCCGAUACUGCUGUGACUCGAGUCUGGUAGGGGAGCACGGAAUCUCUGGUGUAGCGGUGAAAUGCACAGAUAUCAGAGGGAACACCGGUGGCGAAGGCGGUGCUCUGGGCCAGUACUGACGCUGAAUAGCGAAAGCGUGGGUAGC